rnacentral:rRNA from 1 species
GAUGAACGCUGGCGGCGUGCCUAAUACAUGCAAGUCGAGCGAACUGACGAGGAGCUUGCUCCUCUGACGUUAGCGGCGGACGGGUGAGUAACACGUGGAUAACCUACCUAUAAGACUGGGAUAACUUCGGGAAACCGGAGCUAAUACCGGAUAAUAUAUUGAACCGCAUGGUUCAAUAGUGAAAGACGGUUUUGCUGUCACUUAUAGAUGGAUCCGCGCCGCAUUAGCUAGUUGGUAAGGUAACGGCUUACCAAGGCAACGAUGCGUAGCCGACCUGAGAGGGUGAUCGGCCACACUGGAACUGAGACACGGUCCAGACUCCUACGGGAGGCAGCAGUAGGGAAUCUUCCGCAAUGGGCGAAAGCUUGACGGAGCAACGCCGCGUGAGUGAUGAAGGUCUUCGGAUCGUAAAACUCUGUUAUUAGGGAAGAACAAAUGUGUAAGUAACUAUGCACGUCUUGACGGUACCUAAUCAGAAAGCCACGGCUAACUACGUG